rnacentral:lncRNA from 1 species
GCUGACAAUAAUCUUUUGGCGACCUGGGAAUUUGAACUUAGCACGACGAAGAGCCUCCUGGGCAUGCUGACUGUUGCUGUCCUUGCAACGAACGGACAGGAGCACCUGGCCAAUAGCAACCCUGGCACAGACACCUUGGGGCUUACCGAAGGCACCCCUCAUACCAGUCUGAAGCCUGUCAGCUCCAGCACACGAAAGCAUCUUGUUGAUACGCAGGACAUGGAAUGGGUGCACCCUGACCCUCAAGUGGAAAGCAUCCUUUCCAGCAGACUUAGUCAUGUACUUGUUGCAGGCAAUACGAGCAGCCUCAAGAGCUUCACUGGACACAUUCUCCUUCUCCCAGGACACCAAAUGGACACAGAAGGGGAAUUCAUCGACUCCCUUCUUCUUCAUCCCAACAUCGUAGAUCCUGAUCUUGGGGUCAGGGACACCACGGCAGAAACGAGAUUUCGGGUAGGGCUUGUUCUUAAUCUGACGGUAACACCUAGCAGGUCCUAAUAAAU